GACGAACGCUGGCGGCGUGCCUAAUACAUGCAAGUUGAGCGCUGAAGGUUGGUACUUGUACCAACUGGAUGAGCAGCGAACGGGUGAGUAGCGCGUGGGGAAUCUGCCUUUGAGCGGGGGACAACAUUUGGAAACGAAUGCUAAUACCGCAUAAAAACUUUAAACACAAGUUUUAAGUUUGAAAGAUGCAAUUGCAUCACUCAAAGAUGAUCCCGCGUUGUAUUAGCUAGUUGGUGAGGUAAAGGCUCACCAAGGCGAUGAUACAUAGCCGACCUGAGAGGGUGAUCGGCCACAUUGGGACUGAGACACGGCCCAAACUCCUACGGGAGGCAGCAGUAGGGAAUCUUCGGCAAUGGACGAAAGUCUGACCGAGCAACGCCGCGUGAGUGAAGAAGGUUUUCGGAUCGUAAAACUCGGUUGGUAGAGAAGAACGUUGGUGAGAGUGGAAAGCUCAUCAAGUGACGGUAACUACCCAGAAAGGGACGGCUAACUACGUG
rnacentral:rRNA from 1 species